GAUGAACGCUAGCUACAGGCUUAACACAUGCAAGUCGCGGGGCAGCAUGGGGGUUGCUUGCCAUCCCCGAUGGCGACCGGCGCACGGGUGAGUAACGCGUAUUCAACCUGCCCUUCACCACGGGAUAACCCGGCGAAAGUCGGACUAAUACCGUAUGUUGUCCAUUGACGGCAUCCGAUUUGGACGAAAGGCUUGGCGGUGAGGGAUGGGGAUGCGUCCGAUUAGCCAGACGGCGGGGUAACGGCCCACCGUGGCUACGAUCGGUAGGGGUUCUGAGAGGAAGGUCCCCCACACUGGAACUGAGACACGGUCCAGACUCCUACGGGAGGCAGCAGUGAGGAAUAUUGGUCAAUGGGCGUAAGCCUGAACCAGCCAAGUAGCGUGCAGGAGGACGGCCCUAUGGGUUGUAAACUGCUUUUAUGCGGGGAUAAAGUGGCCCACGUGUGGGCUUUUGCAGGUACCGCAUGAAUAAGGACCGGCUAAUUCCGUG
rnacentral:rRNA from 1 species